rnacentral:tRNA from 1 species
GCCCUGGUGGCGGAAUAGGUAGACGCAAGGGACUUAAAAUCCCUCGAUCGUAUAGGUCGUGCUGGUUCAAUUCCAGUUCAGGGCA